GGCGGUGGUGUCGGGUCUUUUCAUGCAGUCGAACGAUGACUAACUAGCUUGCUAGUUAUGAUUAGUGGCGGACGGGUGAGUAACAUUUAGGAAUCUGCCUAGUAGUGGGGGAUAGCUCGGGGAAACUCGAAUUAAUACCGCAUACGACCUACGGGUGAAAGGGGGCGCAAGCUCUUGCUAUUAGAUGAGCCUAAAUCAGAUUAGCUAGUUGGUGGGGUAAAGGCCCACCAAGGCGACGAUCUGUAACUGGUCUGAGAGGAUGAUCAGUCACACCGGAACUGAGACACGGUCCGGACUCCUACGGGAGGCAGCAGUGGGGAAUAUUGGACAAUGGGGGCAACCCUGAUCCAGCCAUGCCGCGUGUGUGAAGAAGGCCUUUUGGUUGUAAAGCACUUUAAGCAGGGAGGAGAGGCUAAUGGUUAAUACCCAUUAGAUUAGACGUUACCUGCAGAAUAAGCACCGGCUAACUCUGUGCCAGCAGCCGCGGUAAUACAGAGGGUGCGAGCGUUAAUCGGAAUUACUGGGCGUAAAGCGAGUGUAGGUGGCUCAUUAAGUCACAUGUGAAAUCCCCGGGCUUAACCUGGGAACUGCAUGUGAUACUGGUGGUGCUAGAAUAUGUGAGAGGGAAGUAGAAUUCCAGGUGUAGCGGUGAAAUGCGUAGAGAUCUGGAGGAAUACCGAUGGCGAAGGCAGCUUCCUGGCAUAAUAUUGACACUGAGAUUCGAAAGCGUGGGUAGCAAACAGGAUUAGAUACCCUGGUAGUCCACGCCGUAAACGAUGUCUACUAGCCGUUGGGGUCCU
rnacentral:rRNA from 1 species